UCCCCUCCACCUGAGGGCUCAGCUGCCUGGGCUGGGAGACAGCUUCAGGUGCUGGUUCAGGUGCACAGCUGCAAGGAGAGCUGCCCGAGCUGUGCUUGUUAGGGGCUCCUUCUCCUCACCUGGGAGCUAUGCUGAAGCUGAGGAUUUGGGGCUUAGCCCCUCCACGAGCAAUGCUGUUGCCAUGCUUUGUCCUGGCUUGAUCCUGACCCUGUCUCAGAGACUUGCUUCUCUGCCUCGAACUGCUCUCUAUCUGGGGAUCUGGAUCCUUGGCUAAGCCUAGGUUCCUGUACUAGAUCUUCUCUGCUUGCCUUGCUCAGGGCCUGACCCAGUUGCUCAGCCCCACUAGGGAAGUGAAGCAGAGUGAUCACCUCCAAGCUGCAAGUGAAGUGGCAAAGCAAACCUGAAGGAGACUGCUGACCUCCCUGUAGAUUAUCCCUUUGACUCAGAAAAACCUGCUUUUUGUAGCCCUCUCUUUUGACCAGAGAUGUCUUACCAGCUAAAUAUAAAUUAUUCCAGAGGAAGAAAAACAGUAUCUUAUUUGGUGGGGUAUAAGGCUCUCAGGAAAAACAGAAACCAUGCAUGUUGAACAUGAAAAACUCACAAAUUUAACUAUACCUCAUUUCAGAUUAACUUUUCUGCAUCUGCAGACUGUAUGGAGAUUUUCCAGAUACGUAUCAGACCUCCUAAUGCAAUAUCCUUCAUGUGAAAGGAGAGUCAGUUACAUUUUCCUUCUCAGAAGGAAAUAUAAGAAGGAAGAAUAUCCUUCCUCCUCUGAAGGAAGAAUAACUCUUAUUUUUCUCCCUCAAAUCUCUGUCAGAAUGUUGCUCUAUUUAAAGCACUUUCCUUUCACCAUUAACAAGUGCAAGUGACCUUUUUAAUAGUAACAAAGAACAGAAAGGGAGUGUGGAGAGAAUUUUGUAUAUCCGCACAGUGGGAUUCUUGACUGUGCCCUCUCUUACCCUUGCAGAUGAAGCAGUUGUGAGCAUUUAGUGACAAUGAACUUAGUGGCUGACUUCAGGGCAUAUUAGUAUUUUGGGAUAUUUUGGCAACAGCAAACGCUUGAUAAGGAUGCAGUGAAGUAUCCCAUGGAAUUGUUCUAGCCGUGACAAAUAAUUUCACUCACCUUUGCUGACUAAGCAGUAGUUCUUAUAUAUGGUUUCCAGUUGUACUUUAUAAAUGACUUUAAUUUACAGUGCAUUACAUGGUUAUGUCUCUAAAUCCCCAUGCAAUAAUUUGUAUCUUUUCCCUUGAUAGUUUAAUUGUUUGUAUUUUUUUCGAAGGUAACUUCUUGGUAAUCCAAUCCAACAGCUACUUUCCCUUGCUUCUGAAUAGUAAAUCUUUAGGUACUGUUUAUUCAAAUUACCCAAGGUACGGAUUUUACAACUUUUUAAUCUGGAUAAUGCAAACAGUAUUAUUCUUCCUCUUCCUUGGGGGAGAGUGUGUGUGGAGGAGAAAGCACCACAAAAACCUAUUUCUUUGCAUAAAUACAAAGCAGAACAUUUAAUUAGUUUUGCUAGUGUAGCUGACAAAUGGUCUGUAUGUACUAUAAAUGGGGUAUAUAUAUCAUGUAUACUUGCACUUUAGUUAGAACUUUGCAGUAUCUUAAUGCAUCUGUCUAAAGGUUUUAGUUCCAAAAAAUAAAACUUCAUCUUAAUCAAAUCUUUACAGGAAUUUCAUUGUUCUAAGCUCCACAAUAUGAUCCCUGAUACUUUAAAUUCAAGAGAAAAUAGUUGGGUAAAUAAAAUUAUUUGCUAGAUGGCUAUAUGAAAACACACGCACACAUGAGCAAAAGGAAUAGGAAAAACUGAAAAUCUGCCCUAAAGUCAGUCCAGUUUGUUCAUGACAGGUUACUCAGUGUAUGAAACAAAAUAUUGGAACUUUCUUUGCCUGUCAAUGGGUUAGGAAAUAGAACUCUUGGUGAUUUGUGUUACGGUGAGGUUUACUUUUUGAUACUGGUGAGUCCUGCUUAUCAGAUGAAAGUGCUUACAUUCAAGAAAAGUUAGAAAAGGAUUACAAACUCUGUGAUGGUCACUUUAGAAGAAACUUUCUUUGCAAUCUCAUUAGAAAACUCAC